AGUGAACGCUGGCGGUAGGCCUAACACAUGCAAGUCGAACGGCAGCACAGUAAGAGCUUGCUCUUACGGGUGGCGAGUGGCGGACGGGUGAGGAAUACAUCGGAAUCUACUUUUUCGUGGUGUAUAACGUAGGGAAACUUACGCUAAUACCGCAUACGACCUACGGGUGAAAGCAGGGGAUCUUCGGACCUUGCGCGAUUGAAUGAGCCGAUGUCGGAUUAGCUAGUUGGCGGGGUAAAGGCCCACCAAGGCGACGAUCCGUAGCUGGUCUGAGAGGAUGAUCAGCCACACUGGAACUGAGACACGGUCCAGGCACCUACGGGAGGCAGCAGUGGGGAAUAUUGGACAAAGGGCGCAAGCCUGAUCAAGACAUACCGCGUGGGUGAAGAAGGCAUUCGGGUUGUAAAGCCCUUUUGUUGGGAAAGAAAAGCAGCAGGUUAAUACCCCGCUGUUCUGACGGUACCCAAAGAAUAAGCACCGGCUAACUUCGUG
rnacentral:rRNA from 1 species